GAAGUAGAUAGCUUGCUAUUUACUGAGUGGGUCGCGAACGGGUGAGUAACGCGUAGGUAACCUACCUUUUAGCGGGGGAUAACUAUUGGAAACGAUAGCUAAUACCGCAUAAUAUUCUAUAUUUCAUGAUAGAGGAUUGAAAGAUGCAACUGCAUCACUAAGAGAUGGACCUGCGUUGUAUUAGCUAGUUGGUGAGGUAACGGCUCACCAAGGCAACGAUACAUAGCCGACCUGAGAGGGUGAUCGGCCACACUGGGACUGAGACACGGCCCAGACUCCUACGGGAGGCAGCAGUAGGGAAUCUUCGGCAAUGGGGGGAACCCUGACCGAGCAACGCCGCGUGAGUGAAGAAGGUUUUCGGAUCGUAAAGCUCUGUUGUAAGAGAAGAACGAGUGUGAGAGUGGAAAGUUCACACUGUGACGGUAUCUUACCAGAAAGGGACGGCUAACUACGUGCCAGCAGCCGCGGUAAUACGUAGGUCCCGAGCGUUGUCCGGAUUUAUUGGGCGUAAAGCGAGCGCAGGCGGUUUGAUAAGUCUGAAGUUAAAGGCUGUGGCUCAACCAUAGUUCGCUUUGGAAACUGUCAAACUUGAGUGCAGAAGGGGAGAGUGGAAUUCCAUGUGUAGCGGUGAAAUGCGUAGAUAUAUGGAGGAACACCGGUGGCGAAAGCGGCUCUCUGGUCUGUAACUGACGCUGAGGCUCGAAAGCGUGGGGAGCAAACAGGAUUAGAUACCCUGGUAGUCCACGCCGUAAACGAUGAGUGCUAGGUGUUAGGCCCUUUCCGGGGCUUAGUGCCGCAGCU
rnacentral:rRNA from 1 species